AACGAACGCUGGCGGCAUGCCUAACACAUGCAAGUCGAACGAGACCUUCGAGUCUAGUGGCGCACGGGUGCGUAACGCGUGGGAACCUGCCCUUAGGUUCGGAAUAACUCCCCGAAAGGGGUGCUAAUACCGGAUAAUGUCUUCGGACCAAAGAUUUAUCGCCUUUGGAUGGGCCCGCGUUGGUUUAGCUAGUUGGUAGGGUAAAAGCCUACCAAGGCGACGAUCCAUAGCUGGUCUGAGAGGAUGAUCAGCCACACUGGGACUGAGGCACGGCCCAGACUCCUACGGGAGGCAGCAGUGGGGAAUAUUGGACAAUGGGCGAAAGCCUGAUCCAGCAAUGCCGCGUGAGUGAUGAAGGCCUUAGGGUUGUAAAGCUCUUUUACCCGGGAUGAUAAUGACAGUACCGGGAGAAUAAGCACCGGCUAACUCCGUG
rnacentral:rRNA from 1 species